GAGGAGAAGACAGCGAGGAGGAAGACUGAGCAGAGACGACAGGAUCCAAGACCACGCGUAACUGCCAACCAAGCAAGGAAUGAAAGGUGGGAAGAGCACCACAACUUCGAGAUCCUUCCUCCGAGUGAACUACUCUAUUCCCAUUGGUUUAAAGACUCUGAGCGAGGCAGUCCCACUGUUGUGAGGACAAGGCUUAAAAACCGCCCUGUACCGAGCAGGUUUUAUGG
rnacentral:lncRNA from 1 species